GACGAACGCUUGCGGCGUGCCUAAGAAAUGCAAGUCGAGCGGGGUUAAGUAGCUUGCUAUUUAACCUAGCGGCGAACGGUCGAGUAACACGUAGGCAACCUGCCCUGAAGCGGGGGAUAGCCCACCGAAAGGUGGAUUAAUACCGCGUGUGGUCAUAUUGAGGCAUCUUGAUAUGACUAAAGCAGCAAUGCGCUUCAGGAUGGGCUUGCGGCCUAUCAGCUAGUUGGUGAGGUAACGGCCCACCAAGGCGACGACGGGUAGCUGGUCUGAGAGGAUGGUCAGCCGGACUGGGACUGAGACACGGCCCAGACUCCUACGGGAGGCAG
rnacentral:rRNA from 1 species